rnacentral:rRNA from 1 species
UAGGGAAUCUUCCGCAAUGGACGAAAGUCUGACGGAGCAACGCCGCGUGAGGGAAGAAGGAUUUCGGUUCGUAAAACUCUGUUGUUAGGGAAGAAAAAAUGUAUAGUAACUAUAUACAAAAGAGACGGUACCUAACCAGAAAGCCACGGCUAACUACGUGCCAGCAGCCGCGGUAAAACGUAGGUGGCAAGCGUUGUCCGGAAUUUUUGGGCGUAAAGCGCGCGCAGGUGGUUUAGAAAGUCUGAUGUGAAAGCCCACGGCUCAACCGUGGAGGGUCAUUGGAAACUAAUAAACUUGAGUGCAGGAGAGAAAAGUGGAAUUCCUAGUGUAGCGGUGAAAUGCGUAGAGAUUAGGAGGAACACCGGUGGCGAAAGCGGCUUUUUGGCCUGCAACUGACACUGAGGCGCGAAAGCGUGGGGAGCAAACAGG